GUGAGGAAUAUUGGUCAAUGGGCGGGAGCCUGAACCAGCCAAGUCGCGUGAAGGAAGAAGGAUCUAUGGUUCGUAAACUUCUUUUGCAGGGGAAUAAAGUGCAGGACGUGUCCUGUUUUGUAUGUACCCUGAGAAUAAGGAUCGGCUAACUCCGUGCCAGCAGCCGCGGUAAUACGGAGGAUCCGAGCGUUAUCCGGAUUUAUUGGGUUUAAAGGGUGCGUAGGUGGUUUGAUAAGUCAGCGGUGAAAGUUUGCAGCUUAACUGUAAAAAUGCCGUUGAAACUGUCGGACUUGAGUGUAAAUGAGGUAGGCGGAAUGCGUGGUGUAGCGGUGAAAUGCAUAGAUAUCACGCAGAACUCCGAUUGCGAAGGCAGCUUACUAAGCUACAACUGACACUGAAGCACGAAAGCGUGGGGAUCAAACAGGAGUAGAAACCCCAGUAGUCC
rnacentral:rRNA from 1 species